rnacentral:rRNA from 1 species
AGAGUUUGAUCAUGGCUCAGAACGAACGCUGGCGGCAUUCCUAACACAUGCAAGUCGAACGAAGCCUUCGGGCUUAGUGGCGCACGGGUGCGUAACGCGUGGGAACCUGCCCCUUGGUUCGGAAUAACAGUUAGAAAUGACUGCUAAUACCGGAUGAUGACGAAAGUCCAAAGAUUUAUCGCCGAGGGAUGGGCCCGCGUAGGAUUAGCUAGUUGGUGAGGUAAUGGCUCACCAAGGCGACGAUCCUUAGCUGGUCUGAGAGGAUGAUCAGCCACACUGGGACUGAGACACGGCCCAGACUCCUACGGGAGGCAGCAGUGGGGAAUAUUGGACAAUGGGCGAAAGCCUGAUCCAGCAAUGCCGCGUGAGUGAUGAAGGCCUUAGGGUUGUAAAGCUCUUUUACCAGGGAUGAUAAUGACAGUACCUGGAGAAUAAGCUCCGGCUAACUCCGUG